rnacentral:rRNA from 1 species
UACGUAGGCCGCAAGCGUUGUUCGGAAUUAUUGGGCGUAAAGAGCGUGUAGGCGGCUUUACAGGUCCGUUGUGAAAACUCGAGGCUCAACCUCGAGACGCCGGUGGAAACCGUAAAGCUAGAGUCCGGAAGAGGAGAGUGGAAUUCCUGGUGUAGCGGUGAAAUGCGCAGAUAUCAGGAAGAACACCCGUGGCGAAGGCGGCUCUCUGGGACGGUACUGACGCUGAGACGCGAAAGCGUGGGGAGCGAACAGG